rnacentral:rRNA from 1 species
CUCUCUGUGACUCCUACGGGAGGCAGCAGUGGGGAAUAUUGCACAAUGGGCGCAAGCCUGAUGCAGCCAUGCCGCGUGUGUGAAGAAGGCCUUCGGGUUGUAAAGCACUUUCAGUCGUGAGGAAGGUAGUGUAGUUAAUAGCUGCAUUAUUUGACGUUAGCGACAGAAGAAGCACCGGCUAACUCCGUGCCAGCAGCCGCGGUAAUACGGAGGGUGCGAGCGUUAAUCGGAAUUACUGGGCGUAAAGCGCAUGCAGGUGGUUUGUUAAGUCAGAUGUGAAAGCCCGGGGCUCAACCUCGGAAUUGCAUUUGAAACUGGCAGACUAGAGUACUGUAGAGGGGGUAGAAUUUCAGGUGUAGCGGUGAAAUGCGUAGAGAUCUGAAGGAAUACCGGUGGCGAAGGCGGCCCCCUGGACAGAUACUGACACUCAGAUGCGAAAGCGUGGGGAGCAAACAGGAUUAGAUACCCUGGUAA